UACGGAGGGUGCAAGCGUUAUCCGGAUUCACUGGGUUUAAAGGGUGCGUAGGCGGGCAGGUAAGUCAGGGGUGAAAUCUCCGAGCUUAACUCGGAAACUGCCGUUGAUACUAUUUGUCUUGAAUAUUGUGGAGGUAAGCGGAAUAUGUCAUGUAGCGGUGAAAUGCUUAGAUAUGACAUAGAACACCAAUUGCGAAGGCAGCUUACUACACAAUGAUUGACGCUGAGGCACGAAAGCGUGGGGAGCAAACAGG
rnacentral:rRNA from 1 species